CAUGCAAUCUAAUGACAUUCAAGGCCAUUGAAGAACAUAGGUUGCCUUAAGAAUAGGUUAACUCCAACAUGUUGCGAGAGCUUUUUUAUUUUACAUUAAUGUUGAUUUUGAGUUAUGUUGAAUGUGAAACAAUCCAUCUAACGAAGAUUUCCAGCGUGUACGUUCCAUCCUCCUACUCGGGCACAGGGACGCCACUGUUUUCUCUAGGCAGUGGCUCAGCCGAGCAGUUGGCUUAUGAUCCAGGCAGUAAAUUUGUAUACGUUGUCGGAUCAUCAAAAAUUAAUGUCAUAGACAUAAACGAUGUUGAAAACCCUCGAUUAAUCUACCACAAAGUGAUUGGGGACUUUGACCCAACUGAUGUGGAGUUCUGUGGAGAUCACGUCUUUGUCACACUGGACGAUAACCAAGAUAGAGAAAGGGGCCAGGUUGUUGUGUUCAAAACGUUUGACCCUAAGUACAAUACCAUGGAGACCGUUCUUAAUAUUCCAGUUGGUCCUCUCCCAGAUAUGCUAAAACCUUCUUCAGACUGUAGAACUAUUUUGAUAGCUUUAGAGGCGGAGGCAUUUGCUAGAAAUGGUACUUUGGUCGACCCAGAGGGCGGUGUAGGACUUCUAAAAUUCCAGGACAAAAACAUUUCUUCCUCCAAUUACUCCUAUAAAAGGCUUAAUUUCACCCUGUAUAACGAUAGAUGGAAUGACUUGUCAAAAUCUGGAGUACGGUUUAUUUAUAAAGAACACAAUAACAGAUUUUCCCAAGAUUUAGAGCCAGAAUAUAUCACAUUCAGCAAAGAUGAAAAGACCGCAUAUAUUUGUCUUCAGGAAAAUAAUGCCAUAGCCGUGGUAGACUUGGGAACUGAGAAUAUUACAGCUAUACACGGACUUGGCUUCAAGAACUGGGGAAAUUCUAAGCUUGACGCAAGCGACAAAGAUGGUGGGAUAAAUAUCAGACCGCUUCCUGUGUAUGGUAUGUACCAACCUGAUGCAAUCCAUGUAAUAAAAGUGAACGGUGAGGAAUACCUUGUUACAUCCAACGAAGGAGACAGUAAGGACUACUCGGGCUAUGCACUAAAUACAGUCGGCUUCUCUGAAGAAAUCCGAGCCAAAGAUGCAUCUUUUUCAGGGAAUUCCGAAAUAAAAAAAUGGAUGCUCCAGAACAACAUUAGCAAUGUCAUGGAUGAUUCAAUAUUAGGAAGAUUGAAGAUAACAACGGAAACUGGGAGACUUCCUAACGGAUCUUAUGACAAAUUAUACACCUUUGGUGGAAGGGGAUUUUCUAUUUGGAAAUUGGACACAAUGUCUUUGGCGUAUGACAGUGGAAGUGACGUAGAAGAUACCCAUUCACAGACAAGGCCUGACCUUUUUAACGCAGACCAAGAAAAUAGUGCCAAAAUUAAAAAUACAAUAGACUCCCGAUCCGACAAUAAGGGUCCUGAAAGCGAGAGUCUUGCUAUCGGUCAUGAUGGAGAUAAAAUCCUCAUUUUCGUUGGACACGAACGCCCAGGAUCUAUAAGUGUGUACUCCGUAAAUGGUGACAUUUCAUCUCCUAAGUUCGAAAGUGUGUUUUGGGAUAUUCCAGACUCAGAACAAACCUGGACCCAAGCUUUUGAACAAAGAAGUAUAAGUAGUAUAGACCCAGAAGACAUACGGUAUAUAUCACCCCAGCAAAGUCCAAAUGGUCGCCCUCUUCUGUUGGUAGCAGGUUCAGUAAGUGGAACUCUGUCGAUUCUGGAGGUCAAAGGAGUCAGUUUUGAUAGUUCAACCAACGCUGGAAGUCACAUAUAUCUCCUAGACAAGAGUCUCAUUUAUCUGUUGCUAGCAGCAUGGUGCCAUUUUCUAUAUAGGUUAUGAUGUGUGUGUAAGAUUAAAUAGAUCUGUAUGCGAUCUCCAAUGGAACAUAUUUAUGAUUAAUAACCAGAACUGAUAAUAAAGGUUUAUCGAUAAACUAAGAGUUUCAGUUUUCUUUAAUAAUUAACACCUUCGACGAAUCAUAUUUUCAAAAUAUGAUUUCAGAAUAUGUAUACCUCUUAUAUACUUCAGUAUUUCAACAGAGCUAAUAUUUUGCAAUUAGUGUCCAUUUUAACUCACUCUUUAAUAUAAUGUAACAGUUACAUGUAUAUUGUCAUGUACUAAGAUAGUGAAGUGCUUUUAUUUCCUAUAUACAGGUAUGUGUGUGUUUGUAUUUAGAUACUUAUUUUAUUAUUAUAAUAUGUACGAUUGUGAAUAUGUUUUAUAUUACUUCAUUGCACUUCAUGUAUAUGAACAAAUUACUAUCGUCUAUUCUUUCCAAAAGAUUAAAAAAAAAUAUAUUGAAAAUACACUAUCUAAAAACCUUUAUACGUUGUAUCAUUAUGAAUGCUUUAAUUUCAAAUAUUCAGCUAAAAUGGAUUCUGUCCUGGAUGGCGUUCUUUCACGUGCAGGUUGGGUCAGAAAAGGUGAACCUGUCCAUGAGUGAACCAUGGGUGACCCACUUUGAAGCCAUGUAGGAAAAGUGUGUUCAAAUAGUUCGAUCGUGGUUUGCUUCAAUUUAUGAUCUCGUGAUAUGUACAGUUGGAAGGGAUGAUCUCUUUAUACAUUGCCUUCUUUUCUUUUGAGAACACUGGAGCCAUGGACUCACGUUAAUUUUGGGGAUCAGAAUCUUGCCGAAUUAUUGAAUUCAAACCGUUUCUUAAUCUUCUCUAAAAUCACAAUUGUUUCACUAAUAUUCUUGAAAAAUAGAUGAACUUUUUUUUUAAAUUAAAAUUGAUCUGAAUGCAAGCUGGUAUGAGCACAGAAUCUGAAGUUAUAUAUAUUAAGACAUGCCUGUAUGUAAUACGGCUUUGCAGAAAAGUCACUUCAGUUUGAAUAACAAACAACUUAAGAUACCACCCCCUCUUCCAUUUGUGUUAUCCAUCAAUUUAUUGGCAGUGAAAUUAAAAACCAUUUACAUACGUGUGUUGUUAAACGAUAAAAAGCGUUUUUCCACGGCGACUUAAAAGUUUGAUAUUCCUUAUUUACGGCUCGAGAUACGCAUGCCCUCAUGAUACCCUCUCACGACACAAGCUAGUAUAUAACAACCAUUAGAGUAAAUAUGUUUAGGCGCAGACAUUGCUUGAGCUGAAGUUGUCCUUUAUCCUUGUUUUCCAUGUAUUAUUUGUUAUAUUACUUAAUAAAAGAUCAUCAGGCUGUAAUCGCAUGUUAUUAACAUUACAUAAGUGUAUGUAUAUAGUGCAAAGGCGUCGGAAC